rnacentral:rRNA from 1 species
AGGAUGAACGCUGGCGGCGUGCCUAACACAUGCAAGUCGAACGUCCUGUCUCGCAAGAGGCAGGGAGUGGCGGACGGGUGAGUACCACGUGGGUUAUCUACCGUGAGGUGAGGAAUACCGGCGAGAAAUCGCCGACAAGACCGCAUAGCCUCGGUGCAAGCCGAGGAAAGCUUUCUCGAGAGAGGGAGCGCCACACGAGGAGCCUGCGCCCGAUUAGCUAGCUGGUGGAGUAACGGUUCACCAGGGCGACGAUCGGUAGCUGGUCUGAGAGGACGAUCAGCCACACUGGGAUUGAGAACGGCCCAGACUCCUACGGGGGGCAGCAGUGAGGAAUUUUCGUCAAUGGGGGCAACCCUGAACGAGCAACGCCGCGUGCAGGAAGAAGGUUUCGGAUCGUAAACUGCUUUUCUCAGGGACGAUAAUGACGGUACCUGAGGAAUAGUCACGGCUAACUACGUGCCAGCAGCCGCGGU